rnacentral:tRNA from 1 species
GGUAGGAUGGCCGAGAGUUCAGGCGGUGGGUUGUAGCCCCACAAACAAGGGUUUAAGUCCUUUUCCUAUCA